GUCCUUCUAUGUUUCUCCAUCUCAUGCCUGUAAGACAAAUGACAGCAUCCCCUCUCAGAAGCAAUUCAUUGAACAUUUGCGGGGCAUCAAACAAACAAACUAACCCGGAGGACAUCCACUUUCAGAUCGACGAGGGAAAAAUCGAGCCUGGGAACAGGGCGGCACUGCCUUUCACACCAUCCGUGCCUGUCAAUUUUUCCAAUAGAUGGUAAAAAAUUAUGCAACUAAAUUAAGAUGCAAAACAUUGAAAUUAUGGUAAAUAAUUGCCUUCCUAAAUGAGUAUAUGACAUGAAUGGAUUGGCAAGUAGACAGAAGAUCGACGAUAAGGUGUGAAAUACAGGUUGACAUUCUUCUUUCUGUAAGCGCAUUUGCACAUGCUAUUUAAGUUUCUCUUUUUGCUUCUCCAACCCAGGUUAACAACAGUUCAUUUACAGUAAAUAUUGAGAUGAAAAAGAUGUUAUUUGAAAGGACAACACCAUACUAAGAAAACGAUCAUGAUCAUGCAGCAACCUAAGACGCUGGCAGUAUUGACAAUUUCAAGUUGCAUUUGUACAUGUGCCACAUGAUGUUUAAGGUGCGAACCCCUGCACUUUGGCAAACUAAAUGACACACUGUCCCAUGAUGUUGGUCGUGCCGUUUUGGGCAACCGUAUCACCCCAUUUAAAAAAAUAGUGACUGUAAUGGCAUGAGGUGACAUGAACAUUGCACAUGUAACGGAGCUAGCUUAACAAAAUAAAGCCAAUUCUUUGUCUGACACCUUUUUAGAAAAUAUAGUAUCUAACAAACCAUAUUGAAUUCAAAUACAAGUUUGGGACUGGGUCAAUCAUAUAAACCAUUGACAUAGUACAUAUAUUUCUUCCAAGACAAGAUAAAUGAUUAACUACUUGGCUACUCUGUCAUACCCACUUCAUAAUAAUAAAAAAAUAACACCAAUAAACUAUUUAACUUAUGGAAGAAAACAAACAACACAUGAAGACAAUAAAUGCAUAGCCGAUGAGAAAGUAUCCUAAAAAUCAAAAUACGCUUUCAGUUUUUCUCCUCCCUAAUGUUAUCUUCUUUUCUAAGCUAGGUUACAAAAUCUGUAGGGAUGCCGAGUAGCUUCUCCUCUUGUUUCUCUUCUGGACUCUCCUAGUGCAGCGCCGUGUAGGACACGAACUGAUCGGUCACGGCUGGAUUGCAGUGGAGUGGGUGCCGAUGGCUAUGCUUGAGCCUAUUUCUCAAAUGCAAUGGGAGAGAGUUUUAUAGAAAAUAUACAACAAGAAGAUUCCACACCAUGGCCGGAAGCACUCAAGGUCAGAAACAAUUCUUGCCGUUCUUUCCAGUUUUGGUGGCUGCGAAAAGCAUAAUAUGACCAUGACUACAAGAUCUUUCAGUAGGAAAAUGGAGUAAUGGCUCACACAGAGAUAUUAAGCAAAGGAACCAUGAUAUACCUCAGGAGACAGCACUCCAAUAUCUAAAUGGUUGGUGGAAAUUCAGGUUGGCUAGGACAAUUUUCUAAGCAAUGAUAUAAACAAAUGGAUUAGAUACUUGUUUCCUGAAUCUACCUCGCCGACUAAAUGAACCUACAUUCUGUAACCUUAUAAGAACUUAGAGCAAAGCACAACUACUAACUUAACAGUUGAGGGGAUAAACCGGAAUAGAGAAUUGAGGAUCAACCUAACUGGGAGAAGGUAACAAAAGGGAUACGUGGAAGCAGAUGAGACUGUGCUAGUCAACGUUUGAUGCAUAUAAUAGAACAUGGUAGAACAUAUGAUGAAUGUGAUCGCAAAUUUAUGUUUUAUAAAGAUAUGCCUAACUCCUCAAUAGUUGGUUAAUCAUUAGGAUAAAAUGCAAGAAUUCUUUAUAAGAUCUUAAAAGCGGAAUGAACCACAUCUACCAGAAAAAAGGCUUUCAUAUAAACAUCUUUGCAGAAAACGCAACCUAAUACUGCAUGUAUAAGUAAUCAAAAAUCAUCAUGCAAAAAGCUAAACAAACCCAACAAUUGCUAUGAGAGAAUGAUGGUUCCUGGUGGUGCAGAACAUUGCCGGGAGAGGACCUGAAGGCAGAGCACAUGAAAACAACGACUGACACCGUCCUAACCUAUGAAGCACUGAUACAGCGAUACGGGCGCGGCAAUACGGGAUAACACCAAUUUCUAGAAACAGCAAUAUGGCAAUACGGCAAGUAUAUAUAAAUAAUAAUAUUAAAUGACGUGUAAUAGAAAACUAACAUGAAAAAAUAUGUGAGAUGAGAUCAAAAU
rnacentral:lncRNA from 1 species